UACGUAGGGGGCAAGCGUUAUCCGGAUUUACUGGGUGUAAAGGGAGCGUAGACGGAGCGGCAAGUCUGGAGUGAAAACCCGGGGCUUAACCCUGGGACUGCUUUGGAAACUGUCGUUCUUGAGUGCCGGAGGGGUAAGCGGAAUUCCUAGUGUAGCGGUGAAAUGCGUAGAUAUUAGGAGGAACACCAGUGGCGAAGGCGGCUUACUGGACGGCAACUGACGUUGAGGCUCGAAAGCGUGGGGAGCAAACAGG
rnacentral:rRNA from 1 species